UGGGGAAUCUUAGACAAUGGGCGCAAGCCUGAUCUAGCGAUGCCGCGUGAGUGACGAAGGCCCUAGGGUCGUAAAGCUCUUUCGCCAGGGAUGAUAAUGACAGUACCUGGUAAAGAAACCCCGGCUAACUCCGUGCCAGCAGCCGCGGUAAUACGGAGGGGGUUAGCGUUGUUCGGAAUUACUGGGCGUAAAGCGCGCGUAGGCGGAUUGGAAAGUUGGGGGUGAAAUCCCGGGGCUCAACCCCGGAACUGCCUCCAAAACUAUCAAUCUAGAGUUCGAGAGAGGUGAGUGGAAUUCCGAGUGUAGAGGUGAAAUUCGUAGAUAUUCGGAGGAACACCAGUGGCGAAGGCGGCUCACUGGCUCGAUACUGACGCUGAGGUGCGAAAGUGUGGGGAGCAAACAGGAUUAGAUACCCCCGUAGUCC
rnacentral:rRNA from 1 species